AUGAGGCCAGGACAGGUGCGGGGGGCCAUUCAGCCUCAGGUGAGGGAUUAUAAGCUAAGGUUUCAGCAGGAGCCUGGAGGCAAGGGUAUCCAGCCCAGAGGUAUUCCGCCCAGAGCCGCCCGGGGAGGGGGGAGCCACCUUCCCCUGGCCCAGCGUGCUGCGGGAGGGACACCCAGCCCCCCACCCAUCUCAGCCCACCCAGGCAUGUGUCUGAGCAUAAGGAGAUGGGGGGGGGCGGUGACCGCCCCCCUGCGUGGCACACGGCCACAGGUGUUGUCGCUGUUUCCAAGGCCCUACAAAGGGAGGAUCCAGGCCAGGCCAGGCCUCGGAUGGGCAGCAUUUACUGACAACCAUUUUCAGAGCGUGAGCUCGGUGCAGACGCCGUGGGGGGCAGAGCCAGUGCAUUCCCUGGCACCUGUCAUCAACCUCAGGGCCACUGAGGAAAUAUCCCCUGACCCCCGACCAGGUGCCAAGCACGUCAUCCCACGCCCCCCCCCCCCCCUCAGCUCCGGAGCCAGGCUGGGACCUGGGAGCCCACCGCGUGGGACAGGGCGCCGAGGAGGAGGGCCCCCUCCCCACCGUAGCCUCCCCACCCUCAGGCUGCCUGGGGCUCAGCUCCAGCCUCCCCUCCCAGCCGCGCAGAGGCUAGACCUUUCAGACAAGCUUUCCUGUAAUUGUCCUGUCAUCACGGCUCCGACGCAGAAACCAGCCAAGGGACUGUGGAAAUGCAGAGGCAGAAAGCAUGAAGCUCGCGAGGGUCAUCCGUGCGAUGUGAUCCCACAGUCGUAUCAAAUGAAUACACGUCACGGCGGGAAAAGAUUAAUGACCUGACGGACCAAGACUACGUGUCGCAAACCGGACCUGUUUGUGCGCCGCUGGAGGGGAGUAAACCGCUAGGCACAUUUGGGAAGAAUGGUGUCGAGGGCGUCUGGGCGGCUCGGUCGAUUGAGCGUCUGACUUUUGAUUUCGGCCCAGGUCAUGAUCUCACAGUUCAUGAGAUCAAGCCCCACAUCAGGCUCUGUGCUGACAGUAAUGAGCCUGCUUGGGAUUCUCUCUCUCUCUCUCUCUCUGCCCCUCCCCUGCUCACCCUCUCUGUCUCUCAAGAUACAUAAACAUAAAACAAUUGGGGCGCCUGGGUGGCUCAGUCGGUUGAGCGUCCGACUUCGGCUCAGGUCAUGAUCUCACAGCUUGUGAGUUCGAGCCCCGCGUCGGGCUCUGUGCUGACAGCCCAGAGCCUGAAGCCUGCUUCUGCUUCUGUGUCUCCCUCUCUCUCUGCCCCUAACCCACUCACAUUCUGUCUCUGUCUCUCUCAAAAAUAAAUAAACAUUAAAAAAAAAUUUUUUUUUAAAA
rnacentral:lncRNA from 1 species